CGUCAGGUUGCGUUAGAAACUGUAGGAUACGAGCCGUCUGUGAAUCUGUGACCGAUGAAAUCUGUGUUUUGUAUCGUGCUUCGUCGUGCUUUCUGCUGCUGGAUGUCAAGAAAUUUCUUAGUUCUAGAACGUGUCCACGAUGCACAUUUUACAACCAGGCCACCGAAUAUGGAUUAAGUUUCAUGUCUCGUAAAUUGAUAGAUGGGUUUGAGUGAUGUGUCUUCAAUACCAUACUCGAAGUCAUAAGAUAUAUUUAAAAUUUUUUUUUUACAGAUUGGAUCACAUAAAGAUCAUAGAGAUGUUCCGUGCCAUAUGGUCUGCAGUUUUAUCUCAUGGUGUUUGUUGCAUCGAGCCAUUUGAGAUGUAAAGCUGUUAGCUGUUAGCUGUAAAUAAAAUUCAUCCCUAUUUAAGUACUGGGUGAUAAAUGUGCAUUCAGAGACAGGAUUUCUGUACCUCAAUGACUUCUCCCAAAAUAUUAUGAUGAAAAAUAACUUUAAAAGUUUUCCUAUUGAACCCACAGUUUGAACAGUGGAACCUGUUGCAAUUAAUCUUAUUUCCAACAAAAUAGUUCAUUGUCGUAGAUUUCUACUAUACUCAAGAUAUGGUUGAAUUGAUUGCUGACCCGGUUUUCCUCCUUGAGCAUUCAUAACUGCUACAUGUCAAUUUGGGAGUCUUAUCAGUUCCUUUUAUAUCCAUCAUCUAAUCCAGGUUGGUUAGAAGAGCAUAAGAAAUACUAUUAGAGCAAUCCUUAGGAUAAAUGACUAAUUUCCUUCCAGGACAAUCUUAUACAAGUUAAAGAAAGAAUUGUUUUGUAAUAUUUUCAUUCUGGUUUUUGUAGAGCACAGCAAAUAAAAAAACAAGUAAUAAAUUCUACAAUUGAUACAUAGGCACAGUAUGAAUUUCAAGUACUGCCUCGCUGUAAGCUGCAGCUUUUGUUAAUGUAUUCCAUAUCGCAACAGCCACACCUCUGAUUCUUGUUUUCCCUCUUGCGUGAAAAGUAGAAUGCGAUAAAAGUCGGUAGUUACUGAAAGCUUUUUUUCUUCGAGCAACGGUUUUAAGUAUUUCAAUCCUACCUCGGCUCAUCUCAUAAUUUACCGUCAAUUCGUCUCAUCUCCCAGUUCAGUGAAACUUGAUUCGGGUUUGUUCAUCAUGGUUUUGUUUAUUAUUAUUUGGGUGGAUGUUAUACGAAUUGGAAAAGCAAUUGCCGGAAACUAAGAUGGACGACAAGAAGUCAUGGAUCGUAAAACAACCAGAUUAGUGAGAUUACCAGCUAUGAUUGUCUAAUCAUAAUGAAAGCAUUCAUCCUCUGCGUUGGUAACUGCACCAUAAAUAUAAAAUGUGGAGAUUGGUCAAUACAAAAUUUUAAAAUCAU